rnacentral:rRNA from 1 species
CGGAGGGUGCGAGCGUUGUCCGGAUUUAUUGGGUUUAAAGGGUGCGUAGGCGGCCCGUUAAGUCCGGGGUGAAAGCCCGUUGCUCAACAACGGAACUGCCCUGGAUACUGACGGGCUUGAGUACAGACGAGGUUGGCGGAAUGGACCGAGUAGCGGUGAAAUGCAUAGAUACGGUCCAGAACCCCGAUUGCGAAGGCAGCUGACUAGGCUGUUACUGACGCUGAGGCACGACAGCGUGGGGAGCGAACAGGAUU